rnacentral:tRNA from 1 species
GUGGCGGAUCCGAAUGGCCAGGAGCCGGCCUGCAAAGCCGGCGUUCGCGGGUUCGAUUCCCGCCCGCCACUCCA